UCCAGACUCCUACGGGAGGCAGCAGUGGGGAAUAUUGCACAAUGGGGGAAACCCUGAUGCAGCGACGCCGCGUGAGCGAAGAAGUACCUCGGUAUGUAAAGCUCUAUCAGCAGGGAAGAAAGUGACAGUACCUGACUAAGAAGCCCCGGCUAACUACGUGCCAGCAGCCGUGGUAAUACGUAGGGGGCAAGCGUUAUCCGGAUUUACUGGGUGUAAAGGGUGCGUAGGUGGCAUGGCAAGUCAGAAGUGAAAGCCCGGGGCUCAACCCCGCGGACUGCUUUUGAAACUGUCAGGCUGGAGUACAGGAGAGGUAAGCGGAAUUCCUAGUGUAGCGGUGAAAUGCGUAGAUAUUAGGAGGAACACCAGUGGCGAAGGCGGCUUACUGGACUGUAACUGACACUGAGGCACGAAAGCGUGGGGAGCAAACAGGAUUAGAUACCCGGGUAG
rnacentral:rRNA from 1 species